AGCCCACAGCCACAAAACAGCAUUCACAUUAGAUAUCGAGUUUCUCAUUGAAAGUAUAUAGACGUCAUGGUAGAUCCCUUUUCUAAAAAGAACAGUUCUUUCUUAAUGCAGGCCACAGUUCUUCAAGAUGCAAAAAAGACCUUACAGGGCAGAGACAUCAGAGAGUGAGGUUACAUGCCACAGAAAUCACAGAGUCUCAGUUGCUUUCAUGGCUAUGUUAUAAACCUACUGUUAUUUUCAGUUACGUGCUAAUGUAUACUUACAAACUUUUGUGAUCAUUGCAGAGAGCAACCAAGAUUUAAAACAUACUACCUAGGUCACACUUCUGGUAUGGUUCCCACGUUUGGCUAAUAACCACACACGUAGGGUCAGGGUGAUCAUAGGAAUAAUCCAAAGUAUAAAGAGGAUAAACAAUAUCGAAAACCUCAAGGUUUAAAUUCUGGAGGGAAUCCAGUUAAAAGCAAGUUGGAGUGGAUGCACUGUUACUGACGUAUAGAGUCACAUUUUGGUCUAAUGGACUGCAAAUACAACAGGAACUUUGAACAAGAUGAUUUUACAAUGGAUUUUUGACCCAUUAGUGAACGAGAAUCUAUGUGCUAACAGUGUAUAACUAUAUAUUCUGCAAGAUGGAAAUAGUGGCAAAAAUGUUUCGAGCCAUUUCUUAAGAGUUCAUUGCAAUUUGUCUGCACUCAAUUUGUUGCAAGAAUAGAAGCAAAUUGUGGGUAUUUUUGAUCCUGUGGACGCCUGCCAAGUGAAAAUUCAGCUGCCAAUGACCCUACUAAAGUACCUUAGAACUGUGAAGCAUUCACAUCAAUGGUUAGAAAACCCGCAAAAAAUAAUUUGUGAUCGAUUGUGGUAAAGAAUCCUUUAUUUCCCUCUCUAAUAAAAAAUAUACAAUGUUAUUUUUUAA